GGUCUAAUAGUGUAGUGGUUAUCACAAUGGAUUCUGAUAGUCCUCUGCCGUGUAGUGAAUUCCAUUAACCCAGGUUCGAGUCCUGGUUAGACCU